rnacentral:tRNA from 1 species
GCCCAGCUGGCUCAGUCUAGGAGAGCAUGUGACUCUUGAUCUCAGGGUUGUGGGUUCGAACCACACGUUUGGUG